rnacentral:rRNA from 1 species
AGAGUUUGAUCCUGGCUCAGGAUGAACGCUAGCUACAGGCUUAACACAUGCAAGUCGAGGGGAAACGACAUCGAAAGCUUGCUUUUGAUGGGCGUCGACCGGCGCACGGGUGAGUAACGCGUAUCCAACCUGCCCACCACUUGGGGAUAACCUUGCGAAAGUAAGACUAAUACCCAAUGACGUCUCUAGAAGACAUCUGAAGGAGAUUAAAGAUUUAUCGGUGAUGGAUGGGGAUGCGUCUGAUUAGCUUGUUGGCGGGUAACGCCACAGGCGACGAUCAGUAGGGGUUCUGAGAGGAACGGUCCCCACAUUGGAACUGAGACACGGUCCAAACGUCCGUACGGGAGCA